rnacentral:lncRNA from 1 species
UAGCAUUUGAAAAGCAGACUUAGACUUAUGGUGAAAGCUGGAGGAAGCAGUGUCAAAGGCAAUUUGCCCACAAAUGAUCUGCCAGAAGGCUGGCAUCCACACCACUGUUACACAAACAUCCCUUCAUCUCAGGUUGUGGUUUUAUGUGGGUGCAGGAAGAAUAUAUGAGAUAAAGGAUUUGGGGGCUGGACAACAAUUUAAAGACAGAAUUAAUGAUUUGAAGAUGGAAGUGGAGCACAGACUACAUCCUGGUGAAGGCAGGGCACUGAUGAGAGCACGGCCAGGCAUCUGAUGCAGUGGUUGGUCCCGGGCAGGGGAUGUAUGAGACUCCCACAUAGGGAUGGGGAGCUCUGACCUGCCCAGAGCAGCUUGGGGAGCUUAGUCCCAUCCUGCAGCCUGUGGUAAUUCCUCACCUAAGUCAUGGCUGACAACUGGUGCUUUGGAGAAGCUCACUUGCAGAAAUAUUUCUGAUAAGAAAAAUCACAUCCUCUAAGAGCUUCCAAUAGAAAUGGUGACAGAGGGCGGAUCCCCCACUGCAGCACAUCAUGCCUCUUCUUUCCAGUGGCCUCCUCCAGCCCAGCCACACACAGACCACAGCCACAUGAAGAGAUUGCCCAGAGAGGAGCUGAACCUCGAGUCCUGCUCUGCUGCUCUAUGCUCACUGGGGGAAGGCCUGGAAGGACAUCUCGGACUGUUGGUGCUGCUUCAUGCAGUUCAAGUAAGUUCAGGUGUUUUGACAGCUCUUGGGUACAAAUGAAUGCUGAGGUGAUGUGUUUUGGGGAAUGGGUUUGCCUAGCUUACCUGCUGGAUGGCAAGAGGGGUUGAGGAUAUCAAAGCAUUAAGACAAGCAAAUUUGACAAAAAAAAAAAAAAAAGAAAAAAGAAAAACAAAAAAUAGAAUGGUAUCGAAUGGUACAAAGAGCACUGAAGGUGCUGGUGGAGAAUUACAUUAUCUCUCACAAGUGAACUCACAGCUUGAUUCAUGCUGCAGUUGAACGUGUUCUCACUGUUCCAUUGAGCGUAUGCCAUGGUGUGAAACAGUCCAUAGCACUUAAGGCACCAGCUGCUCUUCCCUAUUAUUUUAAGGCACUGUGCACCUGUCCCUGGGGGUAGACAGGUGGUUAUGGUGUUCUCAGCCUGAGGGUUUCUUCAGAAGCUGCUGGGGAUGGGAGUUGGGGCACACAGGGCUCCUGUCAGGGGAGUGUGGCUCAUUGUGAGCCCCUUGUGAGCCACGUGUGCUUCCUGCUCCAUCCUGCAGUGCUCCAGGUGUGUGUUCAGUGCUGCUUUUUCAGUUCCCAUAACCAGAUCAGGGG